UGUGUAUACACCUGCAUUUCAUUUAUCCUCCAUUGCAUCCAAGACCAUGUCAUAGUGGUCCAGUAGUUAAGAGGCAGGAGUGACCUGCUCUAAACCCAUGAUCCUCUGGGUUGUGCAAGUGUUGGGUGUCCAGGUGGUGUCUCCAGCGGAGAGAGGGUGACCCGAAGAAGAAACACUUUCACCAUCAUUCCCACUAUCACUGUUUUGUCAAAGGUUACCCUGCCUAGGUGGGAGAUGGCAGCUGUACACAAAUUACCCGCACAUAAAAGAGAGAAGCUUACGACGACGUUUCGGUCCGACUUGGACCAUUGACAAAGUCACACAGCUGUGUUAAAAAAAAAUUAAUCUUGUCAAUAGCUAUAAAUAUGAAAAGAUGAAUGUUAAUAUACACUAGCAAGUUACAUAUUUACAGUAAACGAUCUCAAAUUGUCUAAUUAUAUCAAAAAUAAUUCUUCAGACCAGUAUAAUUUAAAGCCUGGAAAACAUUACCAUCAUAAUUUGGUGGUUGAAUGUCUGCUACCCGACAACCCAGCCUUCACUGUAAACAACAUGUCAAUAGUUUCCAACUCCUGAAACGAUGAGGUGUUUUCUCUGCAGCCAUCUAUUACCUUCCCAUUUUAAAAUUUUGGUUACAUUAAGUGUAGUUAAUAAUAUUGUAUAUUAAUUACAGUUCAAGAAUGGUAACUUAGACUAAAACAACUAACUACUUUUAUUCUGGGCUUAGAUUGUGCAAAAACUUAUACAGUUGACCCCCGCUUAACGAUCACCUCCAAAUGCGACCAAUUAUGUAAGUGUAUUUAUGUAAGUGCGUUUGUACAUGUAUGUUUGGGGGUCUGAAAUGGACUAAUCUACUUCACAAUAUUCCUUAUGGGAAAAAAUUCGGUCAGUACUGGCACCUGAACAUACUACUGGAAUGAAAAAAGUUCGUUAACCGGGGGUCCACUGUAUACUGUAAAAAGCUGGAAAAUAAAUUCACUAGUGUUUGGAGGAAGGAUUGUACCUUCAUCAACAGUGUCUACAAACAUCAUUACAUCAGCAAAGAGAGUAAUAUGAAACAGUCUACCACCUGAAUCCGUCAAAACUAAGAUUGUGCUGCAGUUCAAAAUUUACCUGGCCAACUCCAUUAAGCACAGCAUGUGAAUCAUCACAAGCAAGUCAAAAUUUGGCGUCCACCUCGAAUCCACUGGAAACAGUGCAAGUAAAGUAACUACAGUAUUUAGCAGCAGUGAAUUAUAAAAAGUACAAUAAUCUCACCUGCUUUCAUCAAGACCUUCUUCACCAUGUAAAUCAUAUUUCUUUCUUAGCUCUUCAUCCUUGAGAACUUCAUAAGCACGAUUAAUUUGAACAAAUUUCUCAUGUGCUUCGGGAUCAUCCUAAAGGAAAUAUUAAUAUGAUAAAUGUUUACACUGCAUAAAACAUGCAUAUAAAUUGCACAUAAAUACGAAGAAAAAAGAAGAGAUGUUAGAAGAGUGGUUGGGGGAUGUAAAAGAAGAGCCACUCAGAGAGUGGGUAAGGCUUGAUUAACAAAUUUUGCUGAGAAUCAGAAAAAAGUUUUGGAGAAAGAUUGAGAAUGCCUAGAUAAACAAAUCUGUCAGCUAAAAGCAAAAGAGGGGAAAUGCAGCAAUGCUCCAUCCUUCUUAAGUGGAUGUGAUUUGGACUUGCCUAGCAUGAGCCAGUAUCAAACCAUACCCCGGCCGGGAUUGAACCCCCGGUCAGAGUCUCAAAACUCCAGACCGUCGCGUUAGCCACUAGACCAGCUAGCAACAAUAAGAUUCGUCCAACUAGGUAUAUUUCUACACCAUAGGAAGGUUAGCACAGGCACCACUGUGACCACAAAUGCAAGUUUUUACAGACGAAUCUCCAGCUAGCGUGGCCGUGACGAACUCUAGCUCAAGUCCCUUCACUGCCGUCAACAUGACUCACGAAAUCGUAUUGUGGCUAGCUGGUCUAGUGGCUAACACGACGGGCUGGAGUUUUGAGACUCUCUGACCGCGGGUUCAAUCCCGGCCGGGGUAUGGUUUGUUUGCAAUCGUGUCAUUACGAUUUCGUGAGUCAUGAGCCAGUAUGCCUGCUGCAGUGCUCCUUCUUUCUUAUGUUAGAUGGAGAAAUGAAAGAACUGAGAUUAUAGUGGGAAUUUUUUGAAGAGCUGUAAGUGUAGAUGAAGACAGGGAGGCAGCGGUUUCAAGCACUGGGAAGGAAGGUAUGAACUAUGUCUUAAAGGGAUAAAGAAGAGCCAGAUGUGAGUGUGGGAAAGGUAUGCGAGUCAAUGGGUAGAAUGAAAGGGAGUAAAGCAGCUGGGACAGAUUGGAUUAAAACAGAGAUGUUAAAAGCAAGUGGUAAUACAGUCUUGGAGUAGCUGCUGUAUUUAGUCAAUACAUGCAUAAAAGAUGAGAGAGCACUAAAGCAGGGGUCGGCAACCUAUGGCCCACGGGCCGGAUCCAGCCAACGGAGCCACAGCUCAAAUGAUGUUAAAUACAGUGGACCCCCGGUUAACGAUAUUUUUUCACUCCAGAAGUAUGUUCAGGUGCCAGUACUGACCGAAUUUGUUCCCAUAAGGAAUAUUGUGAAGUAGAUUAGUCCAUUUCAGACCCCCAAACAUACACGUACAAACACACUUACAUAAAUACACUUACAUAAUUGGUCGCAUUCGGAGGUAAUCGUUAUGCGGGGGUCCACUGUAUACAGUAUGUCAAAGUUUAGUAUGUAUUACUAUCUUUAUUAACUAUGGUGAUAGGUGUGGCAAGCCAUCUGCUCGCAGACAUGAGCUCUGGCCCCUAGGCAGAACAAGGUUGCCGACCCCUGCACUAAAGACUGGUAGAGCACUAUUCAUACAUAAUUAAUUUGUAUAAUGGGGAAAAGGGGCAAAAGAGAGCUUAAGAAUUACGGUGAAAUAAGCCUGAUAAAUAUACUGAUAAAAUAAAUGGUUGAAUUAUUACUGAGAGAGUUAAGGGUGAGAGAGAGAGAGUAUGGUUGCAGCAGAAUAAUAAUAAUUUAGGAAGGGUAGGGGAUAUGUAGACCAAGAGUUUACACAGAACAUAAGUGAACAAUACCUAGAUAAAAGGUAAGGAACAUUUUGUCACAUUAAUAGAUUUAGAAAAGGUAUAUGAUAAGGUGGAUAGGGGAGCACUAAGGCAAAUGUUGCAAAUGUACGGAAUAAGCAGUAGGUUACUAAAAGCUAAAAAGAGGCUUUAUGCAGAUACUGAGACUCAGGUUAGAGUAUGCUGGAGAGAGUGAUUAUUUUCCAAUAAAAGUAGGCCUUAGGUCAGGGAUGUGUGAUGUCACCAUGGUUGUUUAAUAUAUUUGCAGGUGGAGAAGUGAAUGUAAGGAUGAUAGGGAGAAGUGUAGGGGUUAAAAAGAUAAUAAAUUCAUUGCAAAGUAGGGGUUGUCACAGACAAGAAUGAAAAUGUGUCAUACUUUGAAGCAUCUGAGGAGAGAAAGAACUUUAUCCAUGGAGGCAAAAGGAAAAAUGUACCAGAGAAUACCAGUACAAAUAGUUAUACAGGUGUGAAGAAUGGACUUCAAAUGAUGUAUAAAGGAAGAGGUUGGAGGCAGUGGAGAUGUCAUGUUUGAGUUCAAGGUGUUGUGUAAAUUAUAUGCAGAGAAUUCAGAGUUUGGAGAUUACAAGAUGAUGUGGUGUUGCCAAAAGCAUAAUUCUGAGGGCUGAGGAGGGGUUGUUGAAGUGGUUUGGGAUGGAACAGAAUAGGAUGGCUAAGAUUUUACUGUCUAUAGACUGGGGUGGAAGGAAGAAGGAAUGGGGGUCAUCCCAGGAGGGAUUGGAGGGGAGGUGGUAAAGGUUUUGAGUGCUAAAGGCUUGAACAUCCAACAGGCUUGUAUGAGCAUGUUAGUUCAGACUGAGUGAAGAUAAGCUGUUUUCAUGGCCUGACAUGCUACUGAAGUGUGAGAAAGGUAACAUUUAUAGAGGGAUUCAGGAAAAUCAGUUAGCUGAUGGGAAAUACAGUGCCUUUAUUCUAAUGGAUGGGUGAGGAUGUUGCAGUUCUCAGGGUCAUCUAAACUGUAUCAAUACACCUCUGGUAAACCAGCAAGUGAGUGAAUGAAAGUGAACAAGGUCCUCAUCUUUAGGUCACCCAAACUCAGUGGGUGAUGGCCAGUGUUACACAAGUAAUUAGUACUGUAAAGAAUUUUAUUAAGUUGAAUAGUUAGGAUAAAGGAAAUCACCAAAUAACAAAGAACAUGAAUUUUAAGCAUUCGCAUAUAUCAAUGUGACACUAAGAAACAAUAAGUUGAUAAACAUCCAGUGAAACUUACUAGUAGGUUGGUGCCCUCCUGUACAGUACAAAUAUACAAGUGUAAACAUAUUAGGAAUGACAGCACAAGACAUAUGUGAUGGAUAUGUGGGGCAGUGGACCUCCAGCAGCAACAGCUAGGUUGACCAGGCUAGCACCAGACGAGCUUGGCCCAUGGCUGGGCUUCAAAAGUAGAAAGACUCUCGAAACUCAUUCAAGGUAAUUUACUGGUGAUGGUAAAGCAGCACUGGUACAUAAAUGCAUUAGAGUAAAUAGCUGAUAAACAAGUUAAUAGAGUUCAGUAAAUGGGAAUGAAAACUACAAGUAUUUGAAAGUUCCUAGGUAGAAAUUAGCUACGUCCAGUGACAAUGAUAUAUUGCAGACCAUUAAAUAUAUGGCAUAUGUAAAUGAAAUAAAUAAUACUGCUUAUGCACAUUUCAAAGUACAGUAUGCAUGUGUACUGUAUAGUCAGACCUACAUUUCUGAUUUUUGUGAUAAUCCAAAUUUGCGAGUUUU